UGCAUGUUGCUGGUACUGUACAUCACCUUCAUACAUUUGGUGUUAGCAGGUUCUGGUCAUCUCUCCCUUCUACCAAACAGCACUGGAGAUGUGGAGCAAGUGUAUGAUAAUGUGGUUCUGCUACUGCUCACUGGACAAAUGUUCAUGCGAUAUAGUAUCGGAUCCAGGAUGGAACUGGUCUAGAAAAAUUUGAGAUAGCGAAGAUGGUUGAUCCAGAGGGGGAAUGAAAAUCCAUGGUGGUCCCAAGGAACGGGUGUGUUGAGUUAUGUCCAUGGAUGGACUGCCUAGUUCUGGUCCCAAAGAACCAACUUGGUGUGGUGGAACCACAACUUGUCAUCAGCCCAUGUUUCCUAGUGGCUGCGGAACUUCAAAAUGAGGAAGCAGACCUUCAUCGAGUUGUGUGAGGAGUUUGCACCAACCCUCCAGCACAGACAACUCGAUUUCUGAAAUCCAUACCAGUGGCUAUUGUUCUUUGGAAGCUGGCAAUACUUAACAGCUAUUGGUCACUUGCAAAGCUGUUUGGAGUUGUGAAGUCAACUGUUGGAGCAGUGGCUGCAUAGGUUUGCCAGGCUAUUAAUAUUGUGAUCUAUCCGUGCAUGCUUGCCAUAACCGAAAUCCCUGAAAUUAUUGUGGGAUUUCAGAGGAUGGGUUUCUGUAUUUUGUGGAGCCAUUUAUGGAACACACAUCCCUAUACUUUGCCCACAGAAAGGGGCCAGGGAAUACGUGAACUGAAAGUUACUAUUCACAGGUUCUCCAAGGCAUAGGAAACCACAGGAGUCGGUUGAUGAACAUGAAUAUUGGGGACACCAAAAAGGUCCAUGAUGCCAUGGUGCUCAGGAGGUUGAAGUUGUACUGCUGGGAAGAACAAGGACUUUAUUCCCCCAAGAGGAUGUGGUUAUGUACAAUGUUUCUGUGCUGACAUUUAUUUUUGGGGACCCCACAUACCUGCUCUUACUGUAGCUCAUGAAGCUGUACCCCGACAUCGCUGACUCAAGAAAAGAGGAAGUUCAUGACAGAUUUAGCAGCUCCAGAAAGGUGGCUAAGUGUGUGCCUUUGGGUGACUGAAAGCCCACUGGUAAUGCCUCUGGACCAGUUUGGAUGCCAAUGUAGCCAAUAGGGUUUGGAUUAUUUUGGCAUGCUGUGCCUUGCAGAAUAUAUGUGAAGCUAAAGGAGAAUACUCCCACUCUGAGUAGUCCCAGGACAGAUCUGUUUCUCAAAACAUGUACAGGCAGCCAGAUCCAACCCAUGUGCACGCAGUGCAGGGAAAUAUGUGAUGCUGUGUGUUAGUACAUCAUCGAACAGGAGAGAUCUGGAAGAAGAUUGGGGGCUGUGCUGAAGGACACUACUGUGAUGUGAUGGUGCCCUUGGAAAAGCUCAAUAGAGCAUUGCCACAUACUUCUGUUGAGACACCUUGGUGGGUUUCAAUCUCCUGUAGCUAACAUUAACAUACUGAUUGAAAAGCAGACAGCUGGGGAGGGCCCUCAAGGUUAACACGUUUGGCUGGGGUGUUGUGCUGAGGAAAGUUUUAAUGCACUUUGAGGGCAUCCUUGUGCAAUGUUUUUGUUUAUAUGUUAACUACUGUAUUUCGAGUUUUAUGGAGUGCUGUGAUGGGGCAGCUGCCCAUCACUGGCAGAAAAGGGGUUAAAAGCAGCCCUAUGGGGGCUGUGACAGAGGCAGUCAAUUAGAAAGUAGUGGAGAGGCGGAGCCAAUCGUAGCCUGGCAGGCUCAUAUAAGAAGGGCUGAAGGGCAGAGCAGAGUUCAGUAGCUGACUGGAGAUCCAAGUGAGAAGACCAGGCUCCUAGCAGGAAGAAGGAGUGCCAGCACCUAAGACAGAGCAGUGUUGCAAGCAAGGACCGGGGGAGCUAGAGAGAGCUCCUGGAUGACUGCUAGGCCCUGCAGGCUGAGGCAAGGGCAGAAGAGGGUGCUGGAGCUGCAUAUGGUGACCAGACACAAAUGUGAAAAAUCGGGAUGGGGUAGGGGGUAAUAGGAGCUCACAUAAGAAAAAGACCCAAAAAUCAGGACUGUCCCUAUAAAACUGGGACAUCUGGUAACCCUCGAGCCACAUGGGAAGCAGCCCCAGGACAAUGGACUGCAGUUGCCACUGAGGGAGUGGCUGGACAGAGACUGCAGGUCCCCUCGAAGGGGGGAACACAGAGUGUGGCACUGCCGGAGGGCAGUAUCAAUGAAGAGUCCUGGGAGGGGGGCAGGUCCUGGAACAAAUGUGAUGGCAGCAGGGCAUCACCAGAGGAGGGUGCCCUGGUGAGCAGUGUUAAUUCCCAUGACAGCUGGCAGGAGGUGCCAGAGUGGAAGAAGAGGAAUUAUUUACUGAAAUAAAAGUGGCCUAUCUAAACCCAGGGGCCAUGGGAUGAAAUAGAAGGUGCGAAAAUUAAGUCUAGCAAGAAAAGUUACCAGAUGCUAGAUUUAUUCAGCUGUGGAAUACUCUCCCAAGGGCAGUUUUCUGUUCUCCCAGCUUCAUAAUGUAAGUAGAAGGCCACGUUAAAUUAAAAAGUGGCAAAUUCGAAACCGAUACAAGGAAAGUAUCCCACAGCAUGUAACUAAAUGGUGGAACUCUUUUUGUACCAAUAUCUCAUCUAGGCCAAAACCUUAGCAAGAUUCAAAAAGAACCUGGACCCUAGGUAGAGAAUAGCCAAUGUUAUGCUAAUUAAUACUAACACAUUUUGAAAGAGAUACUAACCCUUAUGCUUCAGUCAUUAAACCAUUCUCAAAUUAUUAGGAUUUCUGAGUUGUAAUGUGGAGGAUAGAUUAUCCCAGUUCUGCCUAAUGGGAGGUUACCUGCAUCUUCCUCUGAAGCAUUUAGUACUGGCCACUGUCAGAGACAGGAAACGGGACUAGAUGGACCUCAGGUUGGGAAAUUCCUGUGUGUCAUAAGUGAUUUGACUGGCACAUUGAAAACUAGACUGGAGAAAAUUUGCAUAAACUAUCCAAUAGGAACAAUCCUGUAUUGUGCAUUUGGAUUAUGUGACUCAGUAGGUCAUUUGCACAUCUUCUUUGUUUUGUUUUUGUUUUGUAAUAAUUGUGCAGGGGUCAUGGGGUUUGUGAAAAUAAAUCACUGCAAAUGAAAAUCUGGAUUAAGUGACAUAAUAAAAUGAACUGAGCGGAGCAGCAAAGCA